AAUCAACGCUGGCGGCGUGCCUAACACAUGCAAGUCGAACGCGAAAGCCCCGCAAGGGGUUAGUAGAGUGGCAAACGGGUGAGUAACACGUGGGUGACCUGCCUUCGAGUGGGGGAUAACGUCCCGAAAGGGACGCUAAUACCGCAUAACAUCCUGCCUUUUAAGAGGUGGACAUCAAAGCUGGGGAUCGCAAGACCUAGCGCUUGAAGAGGGGCCCGCGCCUGAUUAGCUAGUUGGGGGGUAAUGGCUCACCAAGGCAACGAUCAGUAUCCGGCCUGAGAGGGCGGACGGACACACUGGGACUGAGACACGGCCCAGACUCC
rnacentral:rRNA from 1 species